rnacentral:rRNA from 1 species
AGUGAACGCUGGCGAUAGGCCUAACACAUGCAAGUCGAACGGCAGCUCAGUAAGAGCUUGCUCUUACGGGUGGCGAGUGGCGGACGGGUGAGGAAUACAUCGGAAUCUACUUUUUCGUGGGGGAUAACGUAGGGAAACUUACGCUAAUACCGCAUACGACCUACGGGUGAAAGCAGGGGAUCUUCGGACCUUGCGCGAUUGAAUGAGCCGAUGUCGGAUUAGCUAGUUGGCGGGGUAAAGGCCCACCAAGGCGACGAUCCGUAGCUGGUCUGAGAGGAUGAUCAGCCACACUGGAACUGAGACACGGUCCAGACUCCUACGGGAGGCAGCAGUGGGGAAUAUUGGACAAUGGGCGCAAGCCUGAUCCAGCCAUACCGCGUGGGUGAAGAAGGCCUUCGGGUUGUAAAGCCCUUUUGUUGGGAAAGAAAAGCAGCAGGUUAAUACCCCGCUGUUCUGACGGUACCCAAAGAAUAAGCACCGGCUAACUUCGUG